rnacentral:rRNA from 1 species
UACGUAGGGUGCAAGCGUUGUCCGGAAUUAUUGGGCGUAAAGAGCUCGUAGGCGGUUUGUCGCGUCGGAUGUGAAAACCCGGGGCUCAACUCCGGGCCUGCAUUCGAUACGGGCAGACUAGAGUUCGGUAGGGGAGACUGGAAUUCCUGGUGUAGCGGUGAAAUGCGCAGAUAUCAGGAGGAACACCGGUGGCGAAGGCGGGUCUCUGGGCCGAUACUGACGCUGAGGAGCGAAAGCGUGGGGAGCGAACAGG